rnacentral:rRNA from 1 species
GCUGGCGGCAUGCCUAAUACAUGCAAGUCGAACGAACCAUCCUGAUGAUUGAAGCUUGCUUCAUGAUUCAGAUCUUGGUGAGUGGCGGACGGGUGAGUAACACGUGGGUAACCUGCCCAGAAGUGGGGGAUAACAUUUGGAAACAAGUGCUAAUACCGCAUAACAACUUAGAUCACAUGAUCUUUGUUUAAAAGAUGGUUUUGCUAUCUCUUCUGGAUGGACCCGCGGCGUAUUAGCUAGUUGGUGAGGUAAUAGCUCACCAAGGCGAUGAUACGUAGCCGACCUGAGAGGGUAAUCGGCCACAUUGGGACUGAGACACGGCCCAAACUCCUACGGGAGGCAGCAGUAGGGAAUCUUCCACAAUGGACGAAAGUCUGAUGGAGCAAUGCCGCGUGAGUGAAGAAGGUUUUCGGAUCGUAAAACUCUGUUGUUGAAGAAGAAUAUAUGUGAGAGUAACUGUUCACGUACUGACGGUAUUCAACCAGAAAGCCACGGCUAACUACGUGCCAGCAGCCGCGGUAAUACGUAGGUGGCAAGCGUUGUCCGGAUUUAUUGGGCGUAAAGAGAAUGUAGGCGGUUUAUUAAGUUUGAAGUGAAAGCCCUCGGCUCAACCGAGGAAGUGCUUCGAAAACUGGUAAACUUGAGUGCAGAAGAGGAAAGUGGAACUCCAUGUGUAGCGGUGGAAUGCGUAGAUAUAUGGAAGAACACCAGUGGCGAAGGCGGCUUUCUGGUCUGUAACUGACGCUGAGAUUCGAAAGCAUGGGUAGCAAACAGGAUUAGAUACCCUGGUAGUCCAUGCCGUAAACGAUGAGUGCUAAGUGUUGGAGGGUUUCCGCCCUUCAGUGCUGCAGCUAACGCAUUAAGCACUCCGCCUGGGGAGUACGAUCGCAAGAUUGAAACUCAAAGGAAUUGACGGGGGCCCGCACAAGCGGUGGAGCAUGUGGUUUAAUUCGAAGCAACGCGAAGAACCUUACCAGGUCUUGACAUACCAUGAAAAGCUUAGAGAUAAGUCUUUCCCUUCGGGGACAUGGAUACAGGUGGUGCAUGGUUGUCGUCAGCUCGUGUCGUGAGAUGUUGGGUUAAGUCCCGCAACGAGCGCAACCCUUAUUAUCAGUUGCCAGCAUUCAGUUGGGCACUCUGGUGAGACUGCCGGUGAUAAACCGGAGGAAGGUGGGGACGACGUCAAAUCAUCAUGCCCCUUAUGACCUGGGCUACACACGUGCUACAAUGGUCGGUACAACGUGCUGCGAACUCGCGAGGGCAAGCAAAUCACUUAAAACCGAUCUCAGUUCGGAUUGUAGGCUGCAACUCGCCUACAUGAAGCUGGAAUCGCUAGUAAUCGCGGAUCAGCAUGCCGCGGUGAAUACGUUCCCGGGCCUUGUACACACCGCCCGUCACACCAUGAGAGUUUGUAACACCCAAAGUCGGUGGGGUAACCCUUCGGGGAACUAGCCGCCUAAGGUGGG